ensembl:lncRNA
AUGAUUGUUAGGAAAGCGUCAAGUGGAAAAAACACCGCGCGCAACGUGACGCCAAUGAGAGCUGCCCCGUCCCACAAUUUUCAAAGGCACGGGGCUAAACGCAGUCGAAGCGCUCGACGAGGUCGCCAGCUUUCUGAGUUAAAAGCAAAUGGAUUCAACAAAGACAGUUUCAGAGUUGCAAAGGCUGGUGGAAGAUGUCUGAAAGGCCAGUCGUUGAUUUCGGGAUGCUGGAGGGGUCAUGCUGAGGGCUCGUCGACUGCCGGUGCCUCCGAAGACUUCAGCCAGGACUCCUCGAGUAUAACGAUGCCCUCUGGUGUUUCCAGCUUCUUGCUGGAAUGUUUGGAUGUUGAUUCUCCAGCUUCACACACAGACACGACGCUUUCGUCCAUCGAGGAGUUUCGCAGAGCUGAUAAUCAUGAUGUGAUGAUGAACACGGUGAAGAACUCAACUCUUCUAGAUCACAGCCAUGCACAGGAUCUAGCGCUGCAGCAGCCUCCAAACCUCUCCUCCAUUCUUGGUAAGUCAUGGCUGUUUGUCAUUCAUAACUGCUGUUAA